AGAGUUUGAUCCUGGCUCAGAUUGAACGCUGGCGGCAUGCCUUACACAUGCAAGUCGAACGGCAGCACGAGAGCUUGCUCUUGGUGGCGAGUGGCGAACGGGUGAGUAAUAUAUCGGAACGUACCCUAGAGUGGGGGAUAACGUAGCGAAAGUUACGCUAAUACCGCAUACGAUCUACGGAUGAAAGUGGGGGAUCGCAAGACCUCAUGCUCAUGGAGCGGCCGAUAUCUGAUUAGCUAGUUGGUGGGGUAAAAGCUCACCAAGGCGACGAUCAGUAGCUGGUCUGAGAGGACGACCAGCCACACUGGAACUGAGACACGGUCCAGACUCCUACGGGAGGCAGCAGUGGGGAAUUUUGGACAAUGGGCGCAAGCCUGAUCCAGCAAUGCCGCGUGAGUGAAGAAGGCCUUCGGGUUGUAAAGCUCUUUUGUCAGGGAAGAAACGGUGGACUCUAAUACUGAUCACUAAUGACGGUACCUGAAGAAUAAGCACCGGCUAACUACGUGCCAGCAGCCGCGGUAAUACGUAGGGUGCAAGCGUUAAUCGGAAUUACUGGGCGUAAAGCGUGCGCAGGCGGUUGUGCAAGACAGAUGUGAAAUCCCCGGGCUCAACCUGGGAAUUGCAUUUGUGACUGCACGGCUAGAGUGUGUCAGAGGGGGGUAGAAUUCCACGUGUAGCAGUGAAAUGCGUAGAGAUGUGGAGGAAUACCGAUGGCGAAGGCAGCCCCCUGGGAUAACACUGACGCUCAUGCACGAAAGCGUGGGGAGCAAACAGGAUUAGAUACCCUGGUAGUCCACGCCCUAAACGAUGUCUACUAGUUGUCGGGUCUUAAUUGACUUGGUAACGCAGCUAACGCGUGAAGUAGACCGCCUGGGGAGUACGGUCGCAAGAUUAAAACUCAAAGGAAUUGACAGGGACCCGCACAAGCGGUUGAUGAUGUGGAUUAAUUCGAUGCAACGCGAAAAACCUUACCUACCCUUGACAUGUCUGGAAUCCUUGAGAGAUCAGGGAGUGCUCGAAAGAGAAUCAGAACACAGGUACUGCAUGGCUGUCGUCAGCUCGUGUCGUGAGAUGUUGGGUUAAGUCCCGCAACGAGCGCAACCCUUGUCAUUAGUUGCUACGAAAGGGCACUCUAAUGAGACUGCCGGUGACAAACCGGAGGAAGGUGGGGAUGACGUCAAGUCCUCAUGGCCCUUAUGGGUAGGGCUUCACACGUCAUACAAUGGUACAUACAGAGGGCCGCCAACCCGCGAGGGGGAGCUAAUCCCAGAAAGUGUAUCGUAGUCCGGAUUGUAGUCUGCAACUCGACUACAUGAAGUUGGAAUCGCUAGUAAUCGCGGAUCAGCAUGUCGCGGUGAAUACGUUCCCGGGUCUUGUACACACCGCCCGUCACACCAUGGGAGCGGGUUUCACCAGAAGUGGGUAGCCUAACCGCAAGGAGGGCGCUCACCACGGUGGGAUUCGUGACUGGGGUGAAGUCGUAACAAGGUA
rnacentral:rRNA from 1 species